rnacentral:rRNA from 1 species
GAUGAACGCUGGCGGCGUGCCUAACACAUGCAAGUCGAGCGAACGGACGAGAAGCUUGCUCCCCUGAUGUUAGCGGCGGACGGGUGAGUAACACGUGCAUAACCUACCUAUAAGACUGGGAUAACUUCGGGAAACCAGAGCUAAUACCGGAUGAUAUUUUGAACCGCAUGGUUCAAAAGUGAAAGACGGCCUUGCUGUCACAUAUAGCUGGAUCCGCGCUGCAUUAGCUAGUUGGUAAGGUAACGGCCUACCAAGGCAACGAUGCAUAGCCGACCUGAGAGGGUGAUCGGCCACACUGGAACUGAGACACGGUCCAGACUCCUACGGGAGGCAGCAGUAGGGAAUCUUCGGCAAUGGGCGAAAGCCUGACGGAGCAACGCCGCGUGAGUGAUGAAGGUCUUCGGAUCGUAAAGCUCUGUUAUUGGGGAAGAACAUAUGUGUGAGUAAAUGUAGACAUCUUGACGGUACCUAAACAGAAAGCCCCGGCUAACUACGUG